GGGCUGUCAAGUUCUGGCUUUGGGGCUCAGCCAGAAAUGUUUCAGUUACUUCGAGUAGUUCUCCGAGAGAACACAUAGUAUACAAAUUUUGUGUGUGUAGAACAAAAAAACCGAUUGGAUUAGACACCGCGCUGCAACGAGGUUGGGUGUGCAAUACGGUGAGGUGGAAGGUUGAACUAGACAUCCCGCAGAGCCCUCGCAUGUGACCUCCACUUCACAACCACCAGCGAAGAUAUCCCGGCCAUCAAUUUGCCAAAAGUGCUCAAAGCCAACGCUUCGGGAGUUCUUUAAAGUGAGAUCUGUGCCCCUCUCAGGGAUCUUCUUGCCACCAAGUGCAAUGCGGGUCGCCUCAUAAGCUUUACGCCUGCGUUGUAGCAUCCUAAAAUUUUAGUGAACAUUUUACAUAGACUAUAUACCAAUCGAUGCGGACUCGGAAAUGUACUUGGACCAUUCUUUGACGCUGAUUUGAAUUUCUGAUGUGGAGUAGGCCAACUAGAACUCUACCUUUAUGGUGGUGCGGAAAAGUGUUUAUUACACUUCCAAGCAUAACCAUAUAAAUAAAUAGAUUGUUGUCUACCAAAAAAUCUA
rnacentral:sRNA from 1 species